rnacentral:tRNA from 1 species
GCGGGAGUGGCGAAAUUGGCAGACGCACUACUUUGAGGUGGUAGCGCCGCGAGGCGUGGGGGUUCAAGUCCCCCCUCCCGCA